ACGCUCGACACCUACGGGAGGCAGCAGUCGGGAAUAUUGCGCAAUGGAGGAAACUCUGACGCAGUGACGCCGCGUGCAGGAAGAAGGUUUUCGGAUUGUAAACUGCUUUAGACAGGGAAGAAAAAAGACAGUACCUGUAGAAUAAGCUCCGGCUAACUACGUGUCAGCAGCCGCGGUAAUCUGAGCGGGCUGGCAAGGC
rnacentral:rRNA from 1 species